UUUAAGUUUCAGUCUUGCGACCGUACUCCCCAGGCGGCGAGCUUAACGGCUUCCCUGCGACACUCCAUUCGCUAUUUGCGAAUGGAUCAUCUAGCUCGCAUCGUUUACGGCUGGGACUACCCGGGUAUCUAAUCCGGUUCGCUCCCCCAGCUUUCAUCCCUCACCGUCGAGCGCGUUCUGGCGGACCGCCUUCGCCACUGGUGGUCUUCCACGGAUUAAAGGAUUUUACCCCUACACGUGAAGUACCGUCCGCCUCUCCCGCCUCCUAGUCCCGCGGUAUCUUCUGCGGGCCAACCGUUGAGCAGUUGGAUUUGACAGAAGACCUACGGAACAGGCUACGGAUGCUUUAGGCCCAAUAAUCGCCCCGACCACUCGAGGAGCUGGUAUUACCGCGGCGGCUGACACCAGGCUUGCCCUCCCCUUAUUCGCCGGCCUU
rnacentral:rRNA from 1 species